CGGGGUGUAGCGCAGCCUGGUAGCGCAUCUGCUUUGGGAGCAGAGGGUCGGAGGUUCGAAUCCUCUCGCCCCGA
rnacentral:tRNA from 1 species